rnacentral:rRNA from 1 species
AUUGAACGCUGGCGGAAUGCUUUACACAUGCAAGUCGAACGGCAGCACGGACUUCGGUCUGGUGGCGAGUGGCGAACGGGUGAGUAAUGUAUCGGAACGUGCCCAGUCGUGGGGGAUAACGUAGUGAAAAUUACGCUAAUACCGCAUACGAUCUAUGGAUGAAAGCGGGGGAUCGCAAGACCUCGCGCGAUUGGAGCGGCCGAUAUCAGAUUAGGUAGUUGGUGGGGUAAAGGCCCACCAAGCCAACGAUCUGUAGCUGGUCUGAGAGGACGACCAACCACAUUGGAACUGAGACGCGGUCCAGAAUCCUACGGGAGGCAGGAGUGGGGAAUUUUGGACAAUGGGCGAAAGCCUGAUCGAGCCAUUCCGCGUGAAGGAUGAAGGCCCUCGAGUUGUAAACUGCUUUUGUACAGAACGAAAAGGUUUCUACUAAUACUAGGAGCUCAUGACGGUACUGUAAGAAUAAGCACCGGCUAACUACGUGCCAGCAGCCGCCGUAA